CGUGAAACACAGAAAGAGACAAGUAGAGAGAGGUGUGUAACCAGUCUAAACAAGAACUACUACGAAUCUCAGGUAUAUUGGGUAAUUGGUGGAUCAAGGUCUCGGUCCGCCGGCACUGCCUGGCUCGCCGCCGCCGCCGUCGCCCUCUGGGCACGGUUCAGAAUAUGACCAAGUUCGAUCUCCUCUGUUUUCCUUCCACGAUACAUGAAGGAGCACGAUGGCUGCCUUCCAGAAUGGGCCACGCAGGGCUGUCUCUCUACUGCGUCCACUCUGGACCUGAUGUGCGAGAGCUGGGCCGUCGGCUUCUCUUUUCCUGGGCUGAACUUGUGUCUUGCUUCAGAGUAGGCACCGGUGUACUUGGGACGGUGACAUCUCCUCCUCCUUUAGAACCAGCUUGUCCCCAAGCUGGUGCUCGUGGAAACUGUUGUCGAAGCGGAACUUCAUCCUCCCAGGUACAGAGGUCAUCAGGUAGAUAGGACCACCGCACCAGCACUUGUGAAACCGUAGUGCCAUGACGGUGUUGUAGACGUCGAUCCAGAAUGUCUUGAGGUACCUGCAGUUCAUCAGUAUUGUCUGGCAAGGCAGAGCUUACCGUGGUAUGAGGAGGAAUUGCCUUUUUCAGUAGGGAGACAUGAAAAACAGGAUGGAUAAGGCAAUGUGGCGGUAACUGUAGCUUAUAAGCGGAUGCCCCAAUCUUAGCGAUCACCUCAUAAGGUCCAAAGUACUUGAAAGAUAGCUUGUUGGAAGAACGGGGUGCCAAUGAAGUUUGAAUGUAUGGUUGAGCUUUGAGAUAUACCUUGUCACCAAUCUGAAAUGACCGAGCAGAGCGGUGUUUGUCAGCGAAAUAUUUCAUUUUGUGUUGGGCUCGGACCAGAUGUUGUCGAACCAACUGUUGCAUAAGAGCUCUUUCCUCCAUCCAGUUCUGUAAAUCAGAACUGCUACAAGCUUGUGAGAUAUCAAUCCCAAAAUGUCUGGGUUCAUGUCCAUACAAUACCACAAAGGGGCUCUUGCCGAGAGAGGAAUGAUAAGAAGUAUUGUACCAAUAUUCAGCUAGAGAAAGCCAUUGAGACCAUUUACUCGGACAUGCAUGCAAGAAACAACGCAAAUAAGUUUCCAGACAUUGAUUUACUCUUUCCGUCUGGCCAUCCGUUUGUGGGUGGUAAGCACUGCUCAUCUUUAAAUCUGUGCCCAACAGUUUGAAGAGUUCUUGCCACAGAUGACUAGUGAAGAUCUUGUCUCUGUCUGAGAUUAUAACCUGGGGCAUACCAUGUAAUUUGAAUAUGUUGUUCAUAUAGAGAAGAGCAACUUGGAAUGCAGUGAAUGGAUGAGCUAGGGAAAUGAAGUGUGCAUAUUUGGAGAAUUUGUCAACAAUGACUAGGAUGCAGUUAUGUCCAGAUGAUUUAGGGAGUCCUUCAAUGAAGUCCAUAGUGACAGUAUGCCAAGCACCUUCAGGGACUGGUAAGGGAGCCAGAAGACCUGGAUAUGCAGUCCUAUCACUCUUAGCUUGUUGACAGACAGUGCACUGGGCAACAAAAUCUUUAACGGACUGUUUGAGUUGAGACCAAGCAAAGAGGUGUUUGAUGCGUUUAUAAGUUACGUCAUAACCAGAGUGUCCUCCCACUGGACUGGAGUGUAAUGAGAACAUUAUCUUUUGUUGUAAUGAAGGAUUUGCACCCACCCAAAUUCUUUGGUUGUAUCUGAUGAUGCCAUCCUUAAGUGUAUAUUGGCCUUGAGAUAAGGAUACAGACAAUUCUGCCAAAAGUUUGCUGGAAUGAGGAUCAACCAUAUAAGAUUCUUGAAUGUGUUGCAACCAGACAGGUUUAACUGAAGAGAUGGCUGAAAGAUCAUAUGUGUUAUCUGUAGGUAACCUUGAGAGAGCAUCUGCUACUUUGUUAUCAACUCCCUUCUUGUAAACGAUCUUGUAAUUAAGUCCCAUCAACUUUGUUAGGGCUUUAUGUUGUCAAGCAGUUGUCAGUCGCUGAUCAUCAAGGUGCACUAGGCUUUUCUGAUCAGUGAGAAUGAUGAACUGUGAGGAUUGUAAGUAAGGAUACCAAUGCUCAACUGCCAUCAAUAUAGCCAGACAUUCUUUCUCAUAUGUGGAUAGACCUUGAGCUUUGACUCCCAAUGCUUUGCUGACAUAGGCCACUGGAUGUCCCUGCUGUUGAAGGACCGCACCAAUACCUUUGUUUGAUGCAUCAGUUUCUACCACAAAGGGUAUUGAAAAAUUGGGAAGGGCAAGUACUGGGGCAGAUAUUAGAGCCUUCUUGAGAGCUUGGAACGCGGUUUCAGUUUCAGGUGUCCAAACAUACAGAGUGCCUUUCCUCAGUAAAUUGGUGAGAGGUUUAGAAAUGAUUCCAAAUUGAGCUACAAAUCUUCUAUAAUAUCCUGCCAUGCCUAGAAAACUUCUUAGAUCUUUGACAUUAGCUGGGCGAGGCCAAUUCUUGAUUGACUCAAUCUUAGUAGGAUCAGUUGCUACACCCUCACUACUAACAAUGUGCCCUAGAUAAGUGAGUUGUUGUUUUGCAAAAGAGCAUUUGGAUAGCUUGACUUGAAAUUUGUGCUGUUGCAAUAAGGUGAGAACAGCACGGAUAUGUUGCAGGUGAUCAUCCCAAGUUUUGCUAUAAAUAAGUAUAUCAUCAAUAAAGACAACUGCACAUUUCCUGAGCAAGGGUUCCAGCAAAAUAUUCAUCACGGUCUGGAAAGUAGCAGGGCCUCCUGUGACUCCAUAAGGCAUGACACAGUAUUCAUAAUGCCCAUUGUGAGUUUGAAAAGCUGUUUUAUACUCUUCUCCCUCGGCCAUCCUAAUCUGAUGAAAUCCAGAGCUCAGAUCAAGAGUAGUGAACCAAGAUGCACCUUGUAACUCUUCAAGCAACUCUUCUAUGAUUGGAAGAGGGUACUUAUUUUUCACAGUCAAGGCAUUAAGGCGCCGAAAAUCCACACAUAAGCGCCAGUCUCCAGUCUUUUUCCUCACCAACAACACAGGAGAUGAAUAGGGACUGGUACUAGGUUGGAUCCAACCUUUUUGGAGCAUUUCUUUAAUCUGAGUUUCGAUCUCUGUUUUCUGGGCAGGGUUGUACCGGUAUGGUCGAAGGCUAAAAGGUUGAGCACCAUCGAGUAGGGGUAUCUUAUGAUCUCCAGUUCUUGGUGGUGGUAAUGUAGUUGGUGGAGCAAACACUGAAUCAAAUUCAUGGAGAAUAGACUGCAAUGGUUCAGGUAUUUCAGAAGAUGAUUGGAUAGGUGCUUGGGCAGUAUACAAUUGGACCAUAUACAAGAUAGAGUCCGUUUUAUGCAUGGCCUGCAGUUGUUGUUGAGAGACAGGUGGACCUAAGACAGUACCAGGUUGAAUGCCUUGCAAGGUGAUGUCCUUGGAGUGAUAGUUGAACUGAAUCCAUCUUUGUUCCCAAUGUAUUUUCAUGGGACUAUGUGCUCCCAACCAAUCCAUGCCCAAUAUGACAUCGUAACCAGACAAUGGUAGGAUUUUGAGGGUGGUCUUGAAAGUGUAGCCUUGGCAGCCCCAAACUUGAUCAGGCAAUUCAUGGGUACAAGGUAUCAGUGCUCCAUUGGCUACUCUGAUUUGAACUAAAUGAGACAAAGGAGACCAGGGAGUAACAAUGGAUGCCAUAUGCUCACUGAUAAAACUAUGUGAACUGCCAGAAUCAACAAGCAUGAAUAUUUCCUUGUCCUGGAGAUAACCCCUGAGGCGAAGAGUUUUAGCACCUUCAGUACCACUGUGAGCUUGAAAGGAGAUAGCCAUCAGGUCUUCACCAGAAUCUGAGUCAUCAUGUAUUUCAGGCAGGGACAAUUCUUCACCAUCAGUAAGACAUUGCCACAACUGUUCCAUAGCGUGAAGUGAGACAGUAGAAGGACACUUGUGCUGUGGACUCCACUUUUCGCCACAUUUGAAACACAAUCCCUUGGCUCUGCGAUAUGACUUGAGAGCAUUGACUUUGUCAUCAGCGACAGCCUUGGGUCUGACAAAUUCAGUGGACUUCUUUUCUUCCAUAAUGCGUGUUGGACUGGUUAUAGAUGAGGAACCAGACUUAACAGAUUCUGGAGAAUGCUUCUUGGAAGGACUGCUAGAUUCCAUACGGCGUGUUGGUUGAUCUUGAAGGGCCUCCUCCUGCAAAUUAAAAGGCCAAAGAAGUAGCAGUAUCGAGGUCGACUGGACGAUGUAACACAACAGCAGCACGAAUAUCUUUCUUAAGACCAUCUAGGAAUCGGUUAGUGAUGACAGUGGUUGAGAAAGAUGGAUCAUGGGCUAUGAUUUGGUUGACAAGAUCACUGAAUUGCUCAACAAAUUCAGAGACAGAUGUUGUCUGUCUGACAUGAAAGAACUGACGAAGCAAAUGGUUGUGUUCGUCUCUAUCAAAACGUGUACAAAUAGCUUUGGUGAAGGUGGUUCAGGUCAUAGAACGAAUAGUGGUCUCCAUGGUUUGAAACCAGAGAGCAGCCGAACCAGUCAGGCGCAUAACAGCAAGUUUUACCCAUAAUCCCGGAUCUAUGUGGUAGAUGUCAAAGUAAGUUUCACAGCGUUUAAUCCAGAGUUUAGGGUUAUUUCCAUCAAAUUUGUGGAACUCCAUGUCAGGAAAAGGAUUGGGAUGAUGUGGAAAUAUGUAUGGUGGGUAAUAGUGACUAUCAUGGUUCAUAACAGCAGUUGCAGGAACAGAAACAGAGAAUGUGUUGAAUGAUCGCAUCGCACCUGUUACUGGUUGUUGGGUUGGGGCAGUGGUAUACACCACCCCGGAACCCAGCUUGCUGUGGUCUAACGACCCAGACGCCGCCCCGUGCGGGGACGACUCCAGAUGAGCGGAGUCCAGCGUCUUGGCGCUCGGAGAAGGCGGGGUAUCUUCUCGUGGCGCCGGUGAAGCAGAUGCGAUGGUGACGAAGCCAGCAGGUACCGCGCCCGCCGGUGGAAGGAGCACAUCCAGCGCGCGGUUCAUCCGCUCGCCGAGAUCUGCUACAGCAUGCUCCAGCUCGUGGACACGAUGGUCCACCUCAGGUUUCCAGGAGUUGAUCUCAGAACGCAUCGCCCGGAUCUCAGACAUGGACGACUUGAGUUCGUUGAUCCCCUUAGAGUUCUCACCGAGCAAAGCCAGGAUUUGCCCCAGCUGUUCCUCCGGGGUGACCAUGGCCAUCUGACGGCGUGUGAGAUACGAAUGAGAUGCCAGAAUCGCUGAAUCUCCCCACAAAUCGGCUCGCGUGCUUGGGAAUCACAGAGAAAUCUCCAACGGCAGCAGCUCACUAACCGAUGGAAAUCUCGAUCCAACCCGAAGCGUUUGCAAAUCCGAUCGAUGGAUUGUGGAAAUCAGGACCGAAACAGGCAAAUCCGAUACCAGAUGUAACCAGUCUAAACAAGAACUACUACGAAUCUCAGGUAUAUUGGGUAAUUGGUGGAUCAAGGUCUCGGUCCGCCGGCACUGCCUGGCUCGCCGCCGCCGCCGUCGCCCUCUGGGCACGGUUCAGAAUAUGACCAAGUUCGAUCUCCUCUGUUUUCCUUCCACGAUACAUGAAGGAGCACGAUGGCUGCCUUCCAGAAUGGGCCACGCAGGGCUGUCUCUCUACUGCGUC
rnacentral:lncRNA from 1 species